rnacentral:rRNA from 1 species
AUUGAACGCUGGCGGCAUGCCUUACACAUGCAAGUCGAACGGCAGCACGGGUGCUUGCACCUGGUGGCGAGUGGCGAACGGGUGAGUAAUACAUCGGAACAUGUCCUGUAUUGGGGGAUAGCCCGGCGAAAGCCGGAUUAAUACCGCAUACGAUCCACGGAUGAAAGCGGGGGACCUUCGGGCCUCGCGCUAUAGGGUUGGCCGAUGGCUGAUUAGCUAGUUGGUGGGGUAAAGGCCUACCAAGGCGACGAUCAGUAGCUGGUCUGAGAGGACGACCAGCCACACUGGAACUGAGACACGGCCCAGACUCCUACGGGAGGCAGCAGUGGGGAAUUUUGGACAAUGGGCGAAAGCCUGAUCCAGCAAUGCCGCGUGUGUGAAGAAGGCCUUCGGGUUGUAAAGCACUUUUGUCCGGAAAGAAAUCCUUGGCUCUAAUACAGUCGGGGGAUGACGGUACCGGAAGAAUAAGCACCGGCUAACUACGUG